rnacentral:rRNA from 1 species
AGCGAACGCUGGCGGCAGGCUUAACACAUGCAAGUCGAGCGCCCCGCAAGGGGAGCGGCAGACGGGAGAGUAACACGUGGGAACGUACCCUUUAGUUCGGAACAACCCAGGGAAACUUGGGCUAAUACCGGAUACGUCCGAAAGGAGAAAGAUUUAUCGCUAAAGGAUCGGCCCGCGUCUGAUUAGCUAGUUGGUGAGGUAAUGGCUCACCAGGGCGACGAUCAGUAGCUGGGCUGAGAGGAUGAUCAGCCUCACUGGGACUGAGACACGGCCCAGACUCCUACGGGAGGCAGCAGUGGGGAAUAUUGGACAAUGGGCGCAAGCCUGAUCCAGCCAUGCCGCGUGGGUGAUGAAGGCCCUAGGGUUGUAAAGCCCUUUCGGCGGGGAAGAUAAUGACGGUACCCGCAGAAGAAGCCCCGGCUAACUUCGUGCCAGCCGCCGCAGUAACAC